AGUAAAGUCAGCUAACCAAGCUAUCGGGCCCAUACCCCGAAAAUGCCUUAUGGCCUCUACUA
rnacentral:tRNA from 1 species